CAAUCUAUUUAGAGUAAAUCCUCAUUUAGUCAUGAAAGACUCAUAUUUGACUGCUCACUCAAGAUCAUUUUUUAUUGUCGGAAUAAUAACUUUUUUAUAUUUUAAUUGGAGU
rfam:Populus trichocarpa isolate Nisqually-1 chromosome 1, whole genome shotgun sequence.